UGAAAUCCCCAUUCUGGAAAUAAGGAGAAAAACACCUUGCAUCCACUGUAAGCCAGGAACUGUGUGUGCCAGGAUUCAUACCUGCCUUGCCUGACUCCAAAGUCUAUGCUCAUCGUAUAGCACCAUACUGGUAGGAGAUGUUCUAAAGAAAAGCACAGUGUUUCCAAGCUAAGUCCAUGGCUGAGGAGCAAUGAACUGUCUGAGGACUUGAAGGCUAAGAAUUGGAGAGUGGUGAAAAGAAACCAAGAAACCUUGUUAAACAGUAAUUUCAUACAGUUGUGGCCCCUGGAAGUAGCAGUGAUUGACGAGGAGGG